CCUACGGGAGGCUGCAGUGGGGAAUAUUGGACAAUGGGGGGAACCCUGAUCCAGCCAUGCCGCGUGUGUGAAGAAGGCCCUCGGGUUGUAAAGCACUUUCAGUGAGGAAGAACGCCUGGUGGUUAAUACCCAUCAGGAAAGACAUCACUCACAGAAGAAGCACCGGCUAACUCCGUGCCAGCAGCCGCGGUAAUACGGAGGGUGCGAGCGUUAAUCGGAAUUACUGGGCGUAAAGCGCGCGUAGGUGGCUUGAUAAGCCGGUUGUGAAAGCCCCGGGCUCAACCUGGGAACGGCAUCCGGAACUGUCAAGCUAGAGUGCAGGAGAGGAAGGUAGAAUUCCCGGUGUAGCGGUGAAAUGCGUAGAGAUCGGGAGGAAUACCAGUGGCGAAGGCGGCCUUCUGGACUGACACUGACGCUGAGGUGCGAAAGCGUGGGUAGCAAACAGGAUUAGAUACCCUUGUAGUC
rnacentral:rRNA from 1 species